rnacentral:rRNA from 1 species
UACAGAGGUCUCAAGCGUUGUUCGGAUUCAUUGGGCGUAAAGGGUGCGUAGGCGGUUUGGUAAGUCGGGUGUGAAAACCUCGAGGCUCAACCUGAGGCCUGCACCUGAUACUGCUAUGACUUGAGUCCGGUAGGGGAGUGUGGAAUUCCCGGUGUAGCGGUGAAAUGCGCAGAUAUCGGGAGGAACACCAGUGGUGUAGACAGCUUACUGGACCAUCACUGACGCUGAGACACGAAAGCGUGGGUAGCAAACAGG